GCUUUCUUUUGGCCGUUGGCUGGGUCUUCCAAGCUUCCGGGACAGCGUCAAGGAGGCGUGGCCGCUGUCUUGAGGACAAGUCCUCGAUGUGCCCUCUGACGCUGGCACGAGCGUGUUCUGGACCCGUGCCGUGCCCCCAGGCAGCUGGGGAGUUGUCUGCCGUGUAGUCCGGCGGCCACCAGGAGAAUCUGACCCAGUGUCCUGGAUGGGCCAGUUCCCAGUCGUGCGCUCGUGGCCCAGACCAGACCCGGGCUGGUGUGUGGAGCCAGCCACGCGGGCCCGUCUGUCCUCCGUGCCCUGAGUGGGCGCAGAUGAGAGAGGGCGCGGUUGCUCCGUCCGCUUUUCUCCCCUCUCGCCCCCGUGCGGGGAGCCGUCCAGCGGGGCCUGGCUGGACUGAGCCCGUGCCGGACACGGUGCUCAGUUGCCGUCCUGGAGGGCCCAGAGGAUUGCUCGAGGUGUGCCCACCAGGCCCCUCCCCUGAGACAGGGGGCUGGCUGGGUGCCGUCAGGCUCUUUCUUGGCUCCCCCUGGAACCCGGAGGUGGCCCUUGCCUGGUUCCUGGAUCCUUUCACUUCCCCUUCCUCGUCGCCUUGCCGUGUGGAAGGGAAGGGCCGCUCUUAGCCCGCCAGCCCUGGCCAAGGAGGGGAACCCACUUGGAGGGUGGGGUGGCACCAAGGCCUUGCGCGGCCCAACGCACAAGGGGGGAUGGCGGGCCCUCGCCCUGGCCCCGGUGCCACCAGUUUCCCUUGGUCGGGAUUCUUUGUGGCCUAGGCAGGCAGGCGCCCAUGCUGUCUCCGCACUGACCUAGGCACCCACCCACAUGAGGCGUCGGGAGGUGUGGGGCCGGGAGAACAUUUCUCUGCCUGGUUUCCUAGGCGGAGGCAGGUGUGUUGUCGGCAAAGACCCUCACUCAGGCCAAGUGUGUGAUGUCUCUUCUUCUUCCGCAGACGCCGAGCCCGGCACCCGGGAACCUGUUCCGGACGUGCCGCUCCCAACCAUGACUCCCAGCACCGAGGCUGACCACGACCACGACCACGACCACGACCACGACCACGACGCCGAGCCCGGCACCCGGGAACCUGUUCCGGACGUGCCGCUCCCAACCAUGACUCCCAGCACCGAGGCUGACCACGACCACGACCACGACCACGACCACGACCACGACCACGACCACGACGCCGAGCCCGGCACCCGGGAACCUGUUCCGGACGUGCCGCUCCCAACCAUGACUCCCAGCACCGAGGAGGCUGACCACGACCACGACCACGACCACGACCCCGACCCCGAGCACGACCACGACCACGACCACGACCACGACCACGACCACGGUAGGGGCCCGUGUGCCUUGUGUCCUCUGCCCCUGGGAGCCCGCUGGGUUGCCGGGGCUCCUUGAGCGAGAACGGGCUUUCCUAUUGCCUCCGGGACCGGGAAGGUGUCGCCAUGCGAUUCCUUGUCCCGAAACGCUGGCCUGUGCUCUGGAGCUGCGGGGACGUCCUCGGGGCUCUGCCCGGGAAGGAUGUGCUCUCUGGGGAGAGAGGGGCCGCGGUGCGAGUCAGGCGCUCCGAGACGGGGCCGUGUGUCCUCCCGGGUGCUCUGGUUGGCUGCACGCUGCCUGGGCCUGUCCGCAGGUUGUCCGUUUCUCUGCGUGGUGGUCUGCUGACCCGUGCGGGAGGGGCGUAGGCUUCUCGCCCUCCACGUCUGCUCCCGCCAUGACCACCCGGGGGUCUGGUGCAGCACUCCCAGCCGCAUGCCUGG
rnacentral:lncRNA from 1 species